rnacentral:rRNA from 1 species
UACGUAGGGCGCAAGCGUUAUCCGGAAUUAUUGGGCGUAAAGAGCUCGUAGGCGGUUUGUCGCGUCUGCCGUGAAAGUCCGGGGCUCAACUCCGGAUCUGCGGUGGGUACGGGCAGACUAGAGUGAUGUAGGGGAGACUGGAAUUCCUGGUGUAGCGGUGAAAUGCGCAGAUAUCAGGAGGAGCACCGGUGGCGAAGGCGGGUCUCUGGGCAACAACUGACGCUGAGGAGCGAAAGCGUGGGGAGCGAACAGG